UCCGGUUUGUCACCGGCAGUCUCGCAUGAGUCCCCAACUAAAUGCUGGCAACAUGCGACGGGGGUUGCGCUCGUUGCGGGACUUAACCCAACAUCUCACGACACGAGCUGACGACAACCAUGCACCACCUGUCACCGCUGUCCCCGAAGGGAAAGCCUUGUCUCCAAGGAUGUCAACGGGAUGUCAAGACCUGGUAAGGUUCUUCGCGUUGCUUCGAAUUAAGCCACAUACUCCACCGCUUGUGCAGGCCCCCGUCAAUUUCUUUGAGUUUUAAUCUUGCGACCGUACUUCCCAGGCGGCGCAUUUAUCGCGUUAGCUUCGCCACAAACGGGGUCGAUUCCGUUUACAGCAAAUGCGCACCGUUUACAGCCAAGACUAC
rnacentral:misc_RNA from 1 species